rnacentral:rRNA from 1 species
CUACGGGUUGCAGCAGUCAAGAAUCUUCCACAAUGGCCGAAAGGCUGAUGGAGCGACGCCGCGUGCAGGAAGACGCUUUUCGGAGUGUAAACUGCUUUUAUUAGGGACGAAACAAUGACGGUACCUAAUGAAUAAGGGGCUGCUAACCUCGUGCCAGCAGCAGCGGUAAUACGAGGGCCCCAAGCGUUAUCCGGAUUUAUUGGGCGUAAAGGGUCCGUAGGCGGUUUUGCGCAUCUCCUGUCAAAUCUAUCGGCUCAACCGAUAGGCUGCGGGAGAGAUGGCAAAACUAGAGACCGGAAGAGGCAAUCGGAAUUGCUGGUGUAGGGGUUAAAUCCGUUAAUAUCAGCAGGAACACCAAAUGCGAAGGCAGAUUGCUAGGACGGUUCUGACGCUGAGGGACGAAAGCGUGGGUAGCGAAUGGGAUUAGAUACCCGCGUAGUC